rnacentral:lncRNA from 1 species
AAAUUGCAUUGUUGCCCCUUGAACUUUUGGCGAAGUUUCACUUUACCCCUCAAACUUCUAAAAUAGACAUUUAACCCGCUAAACUUUAAUAUUUCGUUCAUGAACUUUUGGCGAAGUUUCACUUUACCCCUCGAACUUCUAAAAUGGACAUCUAACCCCCUAAACUUUAAUAUUUCGUUCAUGUUACUCUUUCCGUCAGUUUUCCGUCAAGCUCCGUUAACCGGAAACUGACGGAAGGGGUAAAACGAAUGAAAUAUUAGAGUUUAGGGUGUUAGAUGUCUAUUUUAGGAGUCUAGGAGGUUAAGUGAAACUCACCAAAAAUUUAGGGGUUAACAAUACAAUUUACCCAAAUUUUUACUAUAAAUUAUUUUUAUAUUUUUAUAUUAAAAAUUUCUAAUUGGCUGAAAUGAAGUACAAAAAUUUUAUUUAAGUGUAUUUUAUAGAACAAUGCUUCUAAAGAUAAAAUGGACAAACGAGUACUACAGAAAAUUAACUGAGAAUUAAAAUUUUUAUAUCCGAGUGAGGACACCUAUUGUAAAUCAACCAUAUUAGCGAGUACACUAGGAUAGUAGAGUGUUCGAGCAUCAUAGGUAGUUAGUAUCGCUCUUUUUUUAAUCUUUAAGCCACUCUAAUUCAUUUCUUUCACUUUUAUUUUAUUACAAUAAAAUAUAGGAUAAAUUAUGGUAUAAUUUAUUUUAGGAUAAUAUAUAUAUAUAUAUAUAUAUUCAAAAUCAAGCAUGAUCAUUAACUUGAAGAUUAGUAGUCAAUCCAUAAGUAACAUAUUAUAAUAAAAUAAUUUAUAGUCAAGAGUCCCCUACGGAGUAAAUUGCACUACUACCUCCUGAAUUUUUGGCGAGUUUCACUUAACCCCCCAAACUCCUAAAAUAGACAUCUAACACCCUGAACUCUAAUAUUUCAUUCGUUUUACCCUUUCCGUCAGUUUCCUGUUAACGGAACUUGACGGAAAACUGACGGAAAGGGUAACAUGAACGAAAUAUUAGAGUUUAGGGGGUUAGAUGUCCAUUUUAGGAGUUCGAGGGGUAAAGUGAAACUUCGCUAUAUAUAUAUAGAGGGCCAGAGCUACUAUUCUAUUAAUAGGAUAGGAGCACUUGUCCUAUCAAAUUGUUUUUGAUGAUCGAGAUUCCGAAUUGAUGAUCGGAGCUGUUGAAGUUGAUCUAGAGUAUUUGAAAUAUCUAGAAACUAAAUUUCAUAAAUUUUAAAAAUUAUUUACAUGGUGAUCAAAGUGUCGUAAAAUCGAUAAUUUUUGACGGCCUAUAUGAGCCGUUUGCUUGUUUAACGGUGUAGAGCAAUCCAAAUUGCUUGAAUUUUUGAUAGAAAAUUUUUUAUACUAUUUAGAUAAUGUUUGAUAACUCUGAUUAUGAAUUGAGAAAGUCUAACCUCUAUUUUAAGAAGGUUAUUCAUUUAUGACCAUUCAUUUUUUAACUCUUAAGAUGAAUUUGAUAAUGAUUUUUAAAUAUUACAAAAUUUGGUUUCUAAACAUUUCUAAUUGUGUAGAUUAAUUUCAACAGUGCCGAUUAUCAAUUUGAAGCUCCGAUCAAUCAAAACGACUUGAUAGGACAAUGGCUCCAAUCCUAUUAAUAGGAUAGUAGCCGGACUCUAUAUAUAGAACUAGGCUGGAAUACUAUUAAUAGCACAAAGUUAUUGGUGCUAUUAGUUUUUUAGCCCUUAGAUUGAGAAAUGUGCGGUUAAGAUGAUGUGGGGUCCCCUAGGGUUGAGUGGGUGGUUGGUUGAAUAGCAUAAUCUAACGGAUAAAAAUAAUCAAAGGGUUAAAUCUAACGGUGCUCGAUAGUACUAAGCCCUUUGUACUAUCGAUAGUAUCUCAGCGGGAUUCUAUAUAUAUAUAUAUAUAUAUAUAAAAUUAAAGAGGGAGAGAG